rnacentral:rRNA from 1 species
UACAGAGGUGGCAAGCGUUGUUCGGAAUUACUGGGCGUAAAGGGCGCGUAGGCGGUCUUGUAAGUUCCGUGUGAAAUCCCUCGGCUCAACUGAGGAACCGCACGGAAAACUGCUUGGCUUGAGUUCGGGAGAGGGAAGCGGAAUUCCGGGUGGAGCGGUGAAAUGCGUAGAUAUCGUAAGGAAGACCAGUGGCGAAGGCGGAUCUCUGGACAGUUACUGACACUGAGGCACGGAGGCCAGGGGAGCAAACGGG